UGUGGACCGCCCAACAUGUAAAGGAAAGU
rnacentral:piRNA from 1 species